rnacentral:misc_RNA from 1 species
AUAUCCAUGCUAUUCCGUAUGUAAUAGUAUUUAUUAAUGAGAAGAAAAAUGAAAAAAAAUGUUUAAUUAAUCCUAAAUCGAUUCAAUAACAAGUUUUAUCUCUUAAUUAUAAUAACUUUACGAUAUUUUACCUAUCUUAGUUUUAUGUAUUCUUUUGUUAUUUUUUGAAAUUCAGUCAUAUACAUACAAAGAAGUUAAAAAAAAUAAAUAUAAACACUGCAUACACAUGUAUAACACAUGUAUACACACAACAUCGAACAUUUUACCCCUGAAAUAUGGACCAACGUAGAUUUGAGUAAAGCUGUAUACGUAAUUUGAAAUAAUAAUAUUAACGAACAAAUUACAAAUGUUAAUAAAAUAUAUAAUAAAUAAAUAAAUUCUAAAAUAUUGCAGGUUGUUGAAGAUAUCUUUUACGCACUCCAGUAAUAUUUUAAACUGAAGAUAAAACAAAAAAAGAAAGAAAGAACAGCAGACUAUGCGUCAUUAUAUGUGUUGUACAGAGAAUGUGUAGUAGUCGCGGAUGGUAAAGGUGACGUUGAGAAAGAAUUUUCAAAAUAAUCUUCAACGCGUCAUUUAAAUGAAAUUUCUCGCAAAAGUGAAAAAUGAAUGCACGACAAAAAUUUAAAAUAAUACCGUUGAGUAAAUAAAGUCACAUGAAGUACUCUGUUGUUGUAAGGAUUUAAAUGUUAAUGCGUAAUAUGAGUACUUAUGUGUAUUAUUUUACAAUCAACAAAUCAGGUCUUUGUUAAAAGAGAAACCAAUUCUCUAUCGCAAAAGUGCAAGUCAUCGCUAUUUUUAUAACAUUAGGAUCGAUAUAUUUUUGUGUGUAACGGUUCUUAAAAUAGUUUUACUGUGUAGAACUAAUCCAUGUAUUUCUCUUGUGCGUUGAUUCUUCUCAUAAACAGAAACAAACGUAGGAGCUUUGAGGUUACGGUUCUACGUUGUUAAGAAAAGAAAAAGGAAAAAAAAAGGACAACUCCAGUGAUAUUUUAAUUACAUUAUUAGAAGGGAAAAAACAAAUUAGGUUUAAUGAGUUAUAAAAAAUUAACGAACAUGGGUUCUACUGAGAUUGCACAAGAAGAUACUGAAAUUUCUUUAUCUUUGAUUACAAGACUUUAUUACGCUGCACGAGAUGGAAUGGCUAUUGUAUUAUAUGGUCUUCUUAGUGAUAAACCACCCGGAAAAAUUGAUUAUCUUAUUAAUCAGAAAGUUUUAGAAGACGGACAAAAGUGUACACUUUUAAUAAUCGCAGCACGAUAUGGACAUGUCAGGGUUGUCAAGACAUUGAUUGAUAAAUUUAAGCCUGAUCUCGAACAAGAAGGAAUUGUCAAAUUUGAUGAAUAUGUUAUUGAUGGAGCAACUGCCCUUUGGUGUGCUGCAGGGGCAGGCCAUUUGAAAACUGUUAAAACUCUUGUUAAAGCUGGAGCAGAUGUGAAUCAUCCGACUAAGACUAAUUCAACUCCUCUUCGAGCUGCAUGUUUUGAAGGACGGUUGGAUAUUGUUAAAUAUUUAAUAGACCAUGGUGCAAACGUACAUAUAUCUAAUAAAUUCAAUAAUACCUGUUUGAUGAUUGCAGCAAACAAUGGACAUUUGGAUGUUGUGAAUUUUCUUUUAAAAAAUAAUGCAGACCCUAACGAAAAAGCACUUUGUGGUAGAACAGCAUUACAUUUUGCAGCCGAGUGUGGUCAUACACAAAUAGUUUCUGAAUUACUAAGUUAUGGUACAAAAAUAACAAAAAACGUCAGUGGUAUGACUCCUCUGAUAGCUGCUGCUGAACGAACGUGUACAUCCGUAGUAGAGUUUUUAGCAGCUCGUACAGAAGUAACAAAAAGAGAAGUAAUUGAUGCUUAUGAAUUACUUGGGGCAUCUUACGCAAAUGACAAAGAUUUGUACAACUUGACAUUAGCAUAUACAUAUUUACAUAAAGCAAUGGAGUUAAGAUAUAGCGAUCCUAAUGAUAUUGUUCAUAAAGAAUUAGGUGAAACAGUGAAAGCAUAUGAACAUUGGAGAGAAUGUGAUACAUUAGAAAAAUUAGAAAAUAUUAAGAAUAAUCCCAAUUCGCUUCAUAUGGAAUCUCUUGCUAUUCGAGAAAGAAUACUAGGACCUGACAAUCCAGAAUUACCACAUCCUAUAAUAUUUAGAGGUGCUGUUUUUGCAGAUAAUGCAAGGUUUGACAGAUGUAUUGAUCUAUGGCUUCAUGCCUUAAAAUUAAGACAAUUACAUAAUAUAUCUGCUGUGAAAGAUCUUCUUCGGUUUGCACAAGUUUUUUCUCAAAUGAUUCAUGUUGGAGUAGAUCCUGAUUUUUCUCAAGUUAUAAAUGUAUUAGAAGCAUGUGUUACAGAAUUAGGACGUAAUAAAAAUAAAAUGCAUAAUCCGGAUCCCAUAGAUGGCAUUGACCAAUAUAUGGAAGAGAUGGAAUCAAACAUUACGACAACUUUAUAUAUUUUAACAAUUUUAAGUAAGUUAAUAACAUUAAAUGAAAAAUAUUAUAAUGAAGCUGACGUUUCUAAAGCUCGUUAUUUAGUACACAAAUUAUGUGCAUUAAAAGUUAAAAUGAGAGAUGGCCAAACAUUUCUACAUCUUGCUGUUAAUUCUGAAACACCAGUUGAUGAUUUUCAUACCGAUGAUGUGUGCAAAUUUCCAUGUGCAGAUACAGCUAAGUUAUUAAUACAAUGUGGUGCAAAUGUUAAUGCAAUGGAUGACGAAAGAAAUACUCCGCUUCAUGUUAUUGUUUGCUAUAGGAGAGUGACUAAUGAUUUUAUGACACUUUAUUCGAUAAUUAUGGAAUUAAUUGAGGCUGGUGCACAUAUAGAUGCUGUAAAUAGUAAUGGAAAGACUCCAUAUGAAUCUGUAGCAACGGGCAUAGCCUACGAUAGGCCAUCCUAUGAUGUAUCUUAUGUAUAUAGAAAGUAUCAUAGCAAAGGACUGCCGAGGGACAGGCUAGCCAGUGAAAUCUAAGAACAGUGUAUUACUGAAAGCAUUGAGAGUAAACAUCGAAUACUCAAAGCAGCAGUGUGGCCGAAAUAUUACUGCGUACUCAUACAAAAUUGUCCUUAAAAUGUAUGGCAGCAAAAGCAGUGAAAACAUAUAACUUAUCUUAUUGUGGCAAUGUACCACGUAUCUUGGAAAGUUUUAUAGAAUUACAUGGACCUGGUCUUAAUCAAGGCUGAUUUAUUAUUUGAU